UGGGGAAUAUUGCACAAUGGGCGCAAGCCUGAUGCAGCCAUGCCGCGUGUGUGAAGAAGGCCUUCGGGUUGUAAAGCACUUUCAGCGAGGAGGAAGGUGGUGAGCUUAAUACGCUCAUCAAUUGACGUUACUCGCAGAAGAAGCACCGGCUAACUCCGUGCCAGCAGCCGCGGUAAUACGGAGGGUGCAAGCGUUAAUCGGAAUUACUGGGCGUAAAGCGCACGCAGGCGGUUUGUUAAGUCAGAUGUGAAAUCCCCGGGCUCAACCUGGGAACUGCAUUUGAAACUGGCAAGCUAGAGUCUCGUAGAGGGGGGUAGAAUUCCAGGUGUAGCGGUGAAAUGCGUAGAGAUCUGGAGGAAUACCGGUGGCGAAGGCGGCCCCCUGGACGAAGACUGACGCUCAGGUGCGAAAGCGUGGGGCAGCAAACAGGAUUAGAUACCCUGGUAGUCCACGCUGUAAAACGAUGUCGAUUUUGGAGGUUGUGCCCUUGAGGCGUGGCUUCCGGAGCUAACGCGUUAAAUCGACCGUCUGGGGAGUACGGCCGCAAGGUU
rnacentral:rRNA from 1 species